rnacentral:lncRNA from 1 species
AACAUAAUACAUUGCACUCUUCAUUCUUUGAAUAAUUUAAAAUUAAUGGAAUCAAUAAGGAAAAUCAUUGGAAGCUACUUUCCUAGGUUUCUCCAAGUAUAUGUGAUUAACUAGGUAGCAAGAACUUGAUCAAAAUAUCAUAUUGUUCAGUAAACCUGAAUACAUGCCAAACACUACAAUGAUGAGAACGAAUCAAAUUAUAUAUUAAUUGACUUAUCUUGGAGAAAUUGCAUGUUGAAAAACCACACAAAAUAUCCA